CAUAAACAUCACUAUUCCUGGAUCUUAUGGCUUUGAAAAUGUGUGGUGGAUAAUCAUAUAUCUUUAAGACUUUGAUUAUAGCUUUGAGUUUUAAACUAUAGUAAAAGGUUUGUUUUCGAAUGUAAAGCAUGAACAAGAUGAUACAGAUGAGUGUGGGGAAAAACACAUCAGGGUAUGGUGUCAGUGAUCCACUGAUUUCCUGACAGUAUAUUCCUGAGAUAUAUUUGAUCUGUUUCUCUACUGGCAUCUUAUUUUUCCAUCCUUUUAGUCAGAUUUCCAUCACAGUUAUGACACACAGCUUAACAACCCAUGCUUCUGAAAUACCAGAAAUGUGUGCUUGCCAAACAAAUCACAACACCCUAAACAUGUCUCGUGACACAUCUAUAUGUUUACCUAUCCACUGAGACUUGAGCAAAUCUGUUUUGUUUUGGUGGAAAGUGAAGUUCGGUCCGGAAGCUGCGGGUCCAUGGAUUGCUCCGCACUGUUUUUCUUGAUAUGUGAAACAGGAAGUGUGUCGCUAAGGGAGGGAGAGCAGGCGGAAUGAAGCAUCCGUCCAUACUGAGAGAAAACCACAGAUGUUGCUCGUACGCGCUUAGCUCUGCCACCACACCCAUGAGGAGAACCGCACUCUCUUUCCCUUCUGCUAAAGUGCUUUGCUUGGUAGUUGGUGUUUAUGUGAAUUUGCCCUGUAUGAGCUACGUGGACGAGGAAAGAGAAAUGCCUUAAUGCAGUGUGUAUGAUAAAAUCACUCUUGGCUUUCACGUUUCACGUCUUCUGGUAUGUGUCAAACAAGGUCUGAGCUUGAUGCAUGCACUAAUACUGUGUUUCUACUCUUUAUUUUCUCGAUUUUGAGGUGUCUGUAUGAUGUUGCAAACGCAACGUGGAUAAGAAGUCUUAUGAAGGUGUAGUGGUAGAUCUGUUCCAACUUCACUGGUCCUGGCUGUCGUUUCUUCGUUUCGAAGCUUUCUGCUUGUGUACAUGUGUGCUUAGUGUUUAUGGUUUGGUGUUGGCUUGAAGUGUGACUCAUGAUCCUGAGGGAGUGCAGAGAUGUGAAAUGGCUUUUGGAGAUGUGGAAGGGAAGCAGCUGGAGGAGGUGCUGGAGAACAGAGCCAAGGGGAAAACCCAACGAUUUCCCUUCUCCAGACUGGCCAGCAGAUAAAGCUAUCUUAUCUUCCUAAACCUCACAGCAUGCGAUGAGAGCUAUUUCAGGCAGCAUUUCCGUUAAAAAAAAAAAAAAAAAAAAAAAAAAAAAAAAAAGUCAUUUAUCAUGUUGAGCAGUAUUCUGUAAUGCAGCAUCACUCGCAGCCUGAAUGUUUCGACAACAUUUUAGGAUAUUGUAUGAUACCCUAAUACAAGCAGCAAGUUCUGACUCGUAGCAGUUGAUUCAAAUUAGUAAAGAGAUAAUUGCUGCCAGACGGGUUUUGUGAUGUAGUGGAACAAGAGAACUUGUUUCAUUUAGAUUUACAAUGACUUAUUUGAUAGAAGCUUUUAUCCAAAGUGAGAUGAGCAGGUGAAGAUUAAUGGCCUUGCUCCAGGGCCAUACAGUGGCAUAUUUGCAGGAUUUGAUCAGUAAACCAUAAACACUGAAUCACCACCACCUUCACUACUGUCUUUAAUGAAGGCACAACAACUCAUGUCAAGAACACCAAUGGAGUGCAGUGUGGGGGUGAAAAUAUAAAAGCCAAAAGUGUUGUAUUUCACUGUGUUCCCAAUAAAAAUGUCGCACUCUGCAAACAUUAAUCCCACAAAGAAAAAUUACCCCCACAACCUUAGGAUAAUGAGUCUUUAUUGGUCACAUAUACAGUACAGCACAGUGAAAUUAUUUUCUUUGCAUAUCCCAGCAUGUUAGGAAGUUGGGGUCAGAGCGCAGGGUCAGCCAUGAUACAACACCCCUGGAGCAGAGAGGGUUAAGGGCCUUGCUCAAGGGCCCAACAGUGGCAGCACUGGGGCUUGAUCCCCCGACCUUCUGAUCAGUAACCUAGAGCCUUAACCGCCAAGCCACCACUGAUACGUUCCAGUUUUGGCUCAUCCUCUUGCUCUUCUUGUAACUGCAGUUCUUCUGUGUUUUCUCGCUAAAAGAUUUAGCUAUACGUACAUAGUGUCUCAGGAGGAAUCCAUGCACUCCAUUAUAAUGACGAUUUAAAGACGAACAGGGUGUGUGUGUGAUGCCCUGGGAUCAACUGGCAUCCCACUCUGCCUUGCACGUCGUGUUCGUUGGAUAGGCCGCGAUCCUGACCCGGAUUAGAGUACCCUACACUUCUAACACCCAUGCUGAUACACUUGUGGUGAAGCUUUAUUCAGAACAUUUAGAUGAGCAUGGCCUCAGCGAACCUUUUCAUGCCUUUCCUUCAUUUGUCCCUAAUACAGGAACUCUCAAAAAGAACAGUAUGUUCCGAGCCAAACUCGGCGUGUUACCACUUAGGACAAAUGAAGAACAGAGAGAAAUGUCUGAGGCAUAUCAUCUAAUUAAUCCUGGGAAUAUGCCAUUGAGGAAUAACGUUCAGAGUUUUACCUCUGCUUACUCUCAGAAGUUCAUGAACAAAUAUGGCUUCCACUGUCAGAAAAGCUCCUGGUGUUGCUCAAAGAUGACCUCUCUGGACCAGUUUGGACUAGCACUAGCUGUGAAGAACAUCACUAGCUCAUAUUUCAGCAGAAUUCACUUGAACCGGAGUAACACUAAGUCUAAUUUGAAAAAAAAAUGAUUGUUGCUAAAUUAACUUUAUACCAAAGUGGUGGUUUAAAGCUAACUCAGCACUGCACUUUCUAUAGUAACAGCUUAUUCACAAGGAUUUGAAUGUCUGAUAUACCACAUAACCUACACUCACCGUCCACUUUAUUAGGAAAACCUGUACACCUGCUCGUUUAUGCAGUUAUCCAAUCGGCCAAUUAUUUGGCAGCAACACGAUGCAUAAAGUCAUGCAGAUACAGGUCAAGACCUUCAGUGAACAUUCACAUCAAACAUCAGAUUGAAGAAAAGGUGUGAUCUCUGGGACUUACAUGGUGGUUGGUAGCAGAUGGGCUGGGUGGAGUAUGUGAGAAACUGCCGAUCUCCUGGGAUUUUCAUACACACUAGUCUCUAGAGUUUAGAAAGUAUGGUGUGAAAAACGAAAAAAGGUCUGCAGGCUGAAACACCGUGUUGAUGAGAGAGAUCAGAGGAGAAUCUGAGCUGACAGGAAGUCGGUAGUAACUCAAAAAAGCACUCUUUACAUCCGUGGUGCACAGAAAAGCAUCUCAGAACACACAACACAUCGAAGCUUGAGGCUAUCAUGGACACAGGCUCAUCCAAACUCACCUAAACUGAAAUACUCAAACCAGCCCAUCUGCCAGCAACAGCCAGGAGGCUGUACCUUUAUAUGAAAUAAUGAGACAGUAUAGUCGCAUAUGGGGCGUAUUGGGGCACAUGGUGGCUUUAGUGAUUAGCACGUUAGCCUCACACCUCCAGGGUCGGGGGUUCGAUUCCCACCGUGGUCCUGUGUGUGCGGAGUUUGCAUGUUCUCCCCGUGCUGCGGGGGUUUCCUCCUCGUACUCCGGUUUCCUCCCCCAGUCCAAAGACAUGCAUGGUAGGCUGAUUGGCGUGUCCAAAGUGUCUGUAGUGUAUGAAUGGGUGUGUGAGUGUGUAUGUGAUUUGUGCCCUGCGAUGGAUUGGCACCCUGUCCAGGGUGUACCCCGCCUUGUGCCCCAUGCUCCCUGGGAUAGACUCCAGG
ensembl:lncRNA